rnacentral:rRNA from 1 species
GACGGAGGAUGCAAGUGUUAUCCGGAAUUAUUGGGCGUAAAGAGCUCGUAGGCGGCCUGUCGCGUCUGCUGUGAAAUCCCGGGGCUCAACCCCGGGCCUGCAGUGGAUACGGGCUGGCUGGAGGCAGGCAGGGGAGAACGGAAUUCCUGGUGUAGCGGUGAAAUGCGCAGAUAUCAGGAGGAACACCGGUGGCGAAGGCGGUUCUCUGGGCCUGUUCUGACGCUGAGGAGCGAAAGCGUGGGGAGCGAACAGG